GUAAGUGUCAUGUGUCAAAGAUCAGGUUAACCCGGCCAAUUACAUGUGAGAUAUGUUAUUAUGCAAUAUUAUGUGUAUCAAGUGAUGUAAAUAGUGUAAUAUGUGUUAUUGUGUUGUAUAAUUGUGAGUGGAUAUGAAUAUACUAUUAGUGUGGUGUGGGACGACCAAAUUAUAGGAAUCCGGUAGCAUAGAGGAUGACCAUGCGGAGCAGUGUGUGUAAUGCGUUUCAAGGACAAUCCGAGGUCCAGAAAUGACAAUGCUUCGUAUGUAUAUGAAGUGAAGCAGACAGGAGGCAGCAAAACCGCACCACUACAUUGCCGGGGAUCCCAGCAAGGGCUUUGGGCCAUAGCUCUGAGGCCCCUUAAAGGUGGUGGGAGGUCGUUCCAGCAGUGUGUGGCUGCAAAUUUGAAGCUGCCCCUGAAAGCUGCAGUUUUGUGAGAAGGAACCUUCAGCGGAGCAACUAUGGAGCGAAGACCAUG